UUCGUCCCUGCUUAUUAUACUCGUGACAUGAUUAAGAAGUUGCAACACUUAAAACAUGGUAGUGAAACUGUAACAAAAUAUUAUGAUGAUUUACAAACUACCUUGUUGCAUUCCUCUUUAGAAGAAAGUGAAGAUGAUUUUAUGGAUAGAUUUUGGGGAGGAUUAAACGGUGAUAUUCAAGAGAUACUAAUUCAUGAAGAGUGUUAUCCUAUGGACCAUUUGUUUCAUCUUGCUUGCAAAGCUGAACAGGAAAUAAAACGACGUGUUGGCCACGAGGAGAACAAGCGCACGGUGCACAUUCCAAGAGUUGAUAUGAUUGUUCCUUCAACUACUAGG
rnacentral:rRNA from 1 species